rnacentral:rRNA from 1 species
CCUACGGGUGGCAGCAGUGAGGAAUAUUGGUCAAUGGGCGGGAGCCUGAACCAGCCAAGUCGCGUGAGGGAAGACGGUCCUAUGGAUUGUAAACCUCUUUAGGCGGGGAGCAAUGCCGGGCUCCCGUGCCCGGAGGGAGAGUACCCGCAGAAUAAGCAUCGGCUAACUCCGUGCCAGCGGCGGCGGUCAUACGGGGGAGGCGUGCGUUAUCCGGAUUUAUUGGGGUAAAGGGGUGCGUAGGCGGAUGAUUCAGUCAGCGGUAAAAUGUCCGGGCUCAACCCGGGCCUGCCGUGGAAACUGGGGAUCUUGAGUGGACGAGAAGUAUGCGGAAUGCGUGGUGUAGCGGUGAAAUGCAUAGAUAUCACGCAGAACUCCGAUUGCGAAGGCAGCAUACCGGCGCCCGACUGACGCUGAGGCACGAAAGCGUGGGGAUCGAACAGGAUUAGAUACCCGAGUAGUC